UACGUAGGGUGCGAGCGUUAAUCGGAGUUACUGGGCGUAAAGCGUGCGCAGGCGGUUUUGUAAGCCAGAUGUGAAAUCCCCGGGCUUAACCUGGGGAUGGCGAUGGAAACUGGCGAGCUAGAGUACGGUAGAGGAGAGUGGAAUUCCCGGUGUAGCAGUGAAAUGCGUAGAGAUCGGGAGGAACAUCAGUUGCGAAGGCGGCUCUCUGGACCAGUACUGACGCUGAGGCACGAAAGCGUGGGGAGCAAACAGG
rnacentral:rRNA from 1 species